UGGGCAACCUGCCCCAGACACUGGGAUAACUCCGGGAAACCGGGGCUAAUACCGGAUACUCUCAGCCGGCCGCAUGACCGGCUGAGGAAAGCUCCGGCGGUCUGGGAUGGGCCCGCGGCCUAUCAGCUUGUUGGUGGGGUAACGGCCUACCAAGGCAACGAUGCGUAGCCGACCUGAGAGGGUGAUCGGCCACAUUGGAACUGAGACACGGUCCAGACUCCUACGGGAGGCAG
rnacentral:rRNA from 1 species